CCUACGGGUGGCAGCAGUGGGGAAUAUUGGGCAAUGGACGCAAGUCUGACCCAGCAACGCCGCGUGAAGGAAGAAGGCUUUCGGGUUGUAAACUUCUUUUAAGGGGGAAGAGCAGAAGACGGUACCCCUUGAAUAAGCCACGGCUAACUACGUGCCAGCAGCCGCGGUAAUACGUAGGUGGCAAGCGUUGUCCGGAUUUACUGGGUGUAAAGGGCGUGCAGCCGGAGAGACAAGUCAGAUGUGAAAUCCACGGGCUCAACACGUGAACUGCAUUUGAAACCGUUUCCCUUGAGUGUCGGAGAGGUAAUCGGAAUUCCUAGUGUAGCGGUGGAAUGUGUAGAUAUCGGGAAGAACACCAAUGGCGAAGGCAGGUCUCUGGGCCGUUACUGACGCUGAGGAGCGAAAGCGUGGGGAGCGAACAGGAUUAGAUACCCUGGUAGUC
rnacentral:rRNA from 1 species